GAUGAACGCUGGCGGCGUGCCUAAUACAUGCAAGUCGAGCGAACAGACGAGGAGCUUGCUCCUCUGACGUUAGCGGCGGACGGGUGAGUAACACGUGGAUAACCUACCUAUAAGACUGGGAUAACUUCGGGAAACCGGAGCUAAUACCGGAUAAUAUAUUGAACCGCAUGGUUCAAUAGUGAAAGACGGUUUUGCUGUCACUUAUAGAUGGAUCCGCGCCGCAUUAGCUAGUUGGUAAGGUAACGGCUUACCAAGGCAACGAUGCGUAGCCGACCUGAGAGGGGGACCGCCCACACGGGAACUGAAACCGGGCCCGGCCCCCUGCGGGGGGCGCAGGGAGGAAAUCUUCCGAAAGGGGCGAAGGCCUGACGGAGCAACGCGGGGUGAGUAAGAAAGGUCUCCGGAUCGAAAAACUCUUUUAUGAGGAAAAAAAAAAUGUGAAAGAACCUUUGCCCUUCUUGACGGUACCUAAUAAAAAAGCCACGGCUAACUACGGG
rnacentral:rRNA from 1 species